rnacentral:rRNA from 1 species
CAGCUGCGAGAUUUGGUGUGAAUUGCAGGACACAUUGAGCACUGAUUUUUCGAACGCACAUUGCGGCCUCGGGUCCUGCCCGGGGCCUCGCCUGUCUGAGGGUCGGAUAAGACUUGCAAAGGAUGCUUCUGCUUCCAAUUGGCCGCGUCGGAAGUCACUUUCCGUCGGCUCAAGUACUUAUAGGAUCCUCCCCGGUCGAUGGAGCUUUCAGCCCUAGAGCAAGCUCGUCGCACGGAGAAGACGGACAACGUUUCUCCACGAAGACGAGACGGCUGUUUAGCUAAGAAGGCCAAUUAUGGGGAUGAGAGCCUACUGGAAUAUUAUGUUCCACAUUUAUGCACUUAAUUGACGACCUCAGAUCAGACGAGAUGACCCGCUGAAUUUAA